rnacentral:lncRNA from 1 species
CUCCAGAUAGUGGAGGAAAGAAUAAAGUAGAAGAAUAUGAAGCAGAAUUCACACACAUAACCAUCUCAGAAACAUAAAAGAAAAAAGUUUUUUUGGUAAUAUGUUGUGUUUUGAGUACAGUUAUUUAUCUAUAAUUGGUCUUUUUUGCCAUGUGUUGUCUAGUUUAUUUUGUAUAUUUUCGAAGUUUGAAUGUCCCUAUGGUAUCUUUUGCCCCUCUUUUGCAACCAUGUUGACCUAUUUGUAGAUCAUUCAAAGAGAUCUAUUAAAAUCUAUUAAAAUAAUUAUAGUUGAUCUAUGUAUUGUUUGUACAUUAAAAAAAAGUCAUUAAAGAUAUGAGGCUUAUAAUUUGGUAUUCAAGAUAUUUAUAAAUGCUGAUCUG